rnacentral:rRNA from 1 species
UGAGGGAUAUUGCACAAUGGACGCAAGUCUGAUGCAGCGACGCCGCGUGAGUGAAGACGGGCUUCGGCCUGUAAAGCUCUUUUCUGUGUGACGAGAACGGACGGUAGCACAGGAAUAAGUCUCGGCUAACUACGUGCCAGCAGCCGCGGUAAAACGUAGGAGGCGAGCGUUAUCCGGAGUUACUGGGCGUAAAGCGCGUGCAGGCGGUAUGGUAAGUCUGUUAUGAAAGCUCCUGGCUAAACUGGGAGAGGUUGACAGAAACUACCGUACUAGAGUGGAGAAGAGGUAAACGGAAUUCCGCGUGUAGUGGUGAAAUGCGUAGAUAUGCGGAAGAACACCAGUGGCGAAGGCGGUUUACUGGUCUCCAACUGACGCUCAGACGCGAAAGCAUGGGUAGCGAACG